UGACUCUGAUUUGUGUUGAGGCUGAAAAACUCGGGAGAGUUUGUGUUGUCAUGGACUUCCAUCUCUUUGAUCAUGUCAGGUGGGAGUUAAGUAACAGCACAAGAUUC